rnacentral:rRNA from 1 species
GUGUCAGCAGCCGCGGUAAUACGGAGGAUGCAAGCGUUAUCCGGAUUUAUUGGGCGUAAAGCGUCCGCAGGUGGUUUUUCAAGUCUGCUGUUAAAGCGCGAGGCUUAACUUCGUACAGGCAGUGGAAACUGGAAGACUUGAGUAUGGUAGGGGUAGCGGGAAUUCCCAGUGUAGCGGUGAAAUGCGUAGAUAUUGGGAAGAACACCAGCGGCGAAAGCGCGCUACUGGGCCAUUACUGACACUCAUGGACGAAAGCUAGGGGAGCGAAAGGGAUUAGAUACCCCCGUAGUCC